rnacentral:misc_RNA from 1 species
AACGCAAAUUGCGCUCUCGGGAUAGGCCUGAGAGCACGCCUCUUUGAGUAUCGAUUCCACCACCUCCGGAACAAACUGAUUUCGAUUGGUUUUGACACUGGGAAUUUGAGUGGUUUCAUAUCUUCGGAUGUGUCACUUGAAGCGGAAUGGAAUUGAGGGUCCUGCGAAACUGCUGUUGAAUAUCAGUUUGCUGAAGUGGACUUGAACAUGGAUAAAUUUCCAAUGAUCAAUAAACUUUGGCUAUGUUGAUAUGAGCGAAUACUAAGUUUUGCAAACAAAAAGCCCUCUGCUAACUAAUAUCUUAACAAAUCUAAGAAUUAGAUCUCAAAUGAAGCGAGACAACCCGCUGAACUUAA